UCUCGGCUUAUCACCGGCAGUCCCCUUAGAGUGCCCAACUUAAUGAUGGCAACUAAGGGCGAGGGUUGCGCUCGUUGCGGGACUUAACCCAACAUCUCACGACACGAGCUGACGACAGCCAUGCAGCACCUGUGUCCACGCCCCUUGCGGGGAGGAAUCCAUCUCUGGAAACCGUCGUGGCAUGUCAAGGGUAGGUAAGGUUUUUCGCGUUGCAUCGAAUUAAUCCACAUAAUCCACCGCUUGUGCGGGUCCCCGUCAAUUCCUUUGAGUUUUAACCUUGCGGCCGUACUCCCCAGGCGGAGAACUUAUCGCGUUAGCUUCGAUACUAAGAGGUCAUGCCCCCUAACAUCUAGUUCUCAUCGUUUACAGCAUGGACUAC
rnacentral:misc_RNA from 1 species